GGCAACCUGCUAUUGUCCCCUUCAAUACUGUGGAAGCUUUGUUCUUUUGCUCUUUGCGAUAAAUCUUGCUACUGCUCAGGUCCACGCUGCUUUUAUGAGCUGUAACACUCACUGCGAAAAUCUGCAGCUUCACUCCUGAGCCUAGCGAAACCACGAGCCCACCGGGAGGAACAAACAACUCCAGACGCGCUGCCUUAAGAGCUGUAACACUCACUGCGAAGGUCUGCACCUUCACUCUUGAGCCAGCAAGACCACGAACCCACCAGGAGAAAACUCCGAACACAACUGAACAUCAGAAGGAACAAACUCCAGACGCACCACCUUCAGAGCUGUAACACUCACCGCGAGGGUCCGUGGCUUCAUUCUUGAAGUCAGUGAGACCAAGAACCCACCAACUCCAGACACACUGGGAUUACAGGAUUACACCCUUGCCAGGCUGGAGUGCAAUGGCACGAUCUCGGCUCACUACAACCUCGGCCUCCCACGUUCAAGCGAUUCUCCUGCCUCAGCCUCCCAAGUAGCUGGGGUUACAGGCAUGCGCCACCACGCCCGAUUGUACUUUUAGUAGAGACGUGGUUUGCACCAUGUUGGCCAGGAUGGUCUCGAUCUAUUAACCUCGUGAUCUGCCCGUCUCGGUCUCCCAAAAUGCUGGGAUUAUAGGCGUGAGCCACCGCGCCCGGCCUUUGUUUUUUUCUUACAAAGUAGUUUCCCUCAUUAACUGGGACUGUUUGGCUACUGUGAAAUCACUUAUUCUGGAAAACAGAAUAAAUCUUU
rnacentral:lncRNA from 1 species